ACAUGGUUGAGUUUGUAAACAAAGCAAACGGUGAACUUUUUCGUGAUUUAUUCGACGCAGAGUUCUCUUUUAAGUUAAUAAUGUGUUAAAUCAGGACUAUCAGGAGUAACGUAUCCAGUAAUGCUGUUAAGCUUGUUACACCUUCAUUUCAAUUGUAGCAAACAUCUGAAAAAUAGAAUGUGUCGACAUGUUUAAUAGUCACUCUUCGAGUGUGAAGUUUAGACAAGCUGAAGAUGUUGAUAAUCGAUCAAAUGUAGUUUAAUUUUUUCCUUCAUGAUCAUGCCACAGCUGGCUUUAGUAUUUACAUCCGCACGGGGAUGGAGACAAUUUAUUGUCAAAUAGCUCCAUUGUAUUUAAAGUAAGCAGGAUUAACAACUCUUGAGGUUAGAAUAUGAUGCGGCCGAAGACUUUAACCAUGAACUCUCUAGUUUCUUAUUACUUUGGCUCUCAGAAUUGCAAUAAAUCACUGUAGGUAUUCACUCAUCCUGAGGAGCAAUAGAUAUGAUCAUCUUCCUAGACGAUGUCAUGAUUUUUCAGGGGGAAAUUGUCAGAGUAUGUGGAGGAAUACUUUGCUCGGUGGAUACAUUUAUUAGAGAUGUAAGUUAUUUGUGUUGCCUUCAAUAAGUCUUACCAAGUGUUAAUGUAUCAUAAAUUUUGAUGAUGAACAAAACAUUAUCUCAGUCGUAAAGGUUAAAAAUUUCUUAAGACGUAUUAUUUUCAAAGAAAAACUCUCGCAUGAUAUUUUUAAUGGAUAAUAGGAGACUUAUUGAGUACGAUACGAUUUUUGCAUUAGAGAAUGCCAAGUGGUGCCUUUGUUCAGUAAAUGACUCAAUCAGUCAGAGGCAAGAAUAGAUUAAUCAAUGAAAUUCACAAGAAAAUAAAAGAGUGAAUAGUUCAAAUUGCAGAGAAUAGCUGAAAAAUAAAAAGGCAUCCGCCGGACGCUGAACUUUAUUAUCUUACAGAGUAAAUCCAUACUUAUUUUUAAAACUGCCCCAUGCACUUAAUUUUUAAUCUUAAAAAAACUUUCAUUGAGAGAUUGUUAACUCUUAUUAUAAUUUAAUAUUAAUUAUAUUUUAACAGGUUGAAUUAAAUGAGUGACUGACAACAUUUUUUUUCUUCAUUAGUUUAUUUAUAGAUUCUUUAUCACAGAUAACAAAAUCACACAAAAAUAACACAAAAUAGCAAUUAUAAAAGGUAACAAAAUCUAGUAUGAGGCAAAGAGAGAGCGGCAAACUUAAUUGUGCUUUUCUGGCACACUAUGUACUUUCUUUGGUAGGAUAAAGUGUGAUAUUCAUCUUGAAUGGAGUCCUAAAUGUUAUGGUUUCACACAAUAACAGAGUGCCAAAAGGUGCUCAGCAACUCAAUAAAUUUAAGGAAGCUUACCUAUGAUAGUCACAUCUCUUUCAAAAAUUGUUUCUAAGACAAGACACUUUCAACGUAUUGAGGAAACCUGUACAUGCAUGACCAAUUUGUACUCACAUCUCGUGCUCAAAAUCAAUUGACAAAGUAUUCAUAAUACAUUGUAUCGUACUUAAAAAAAUAA